AGAGAGAGAGAGAGCAUCACGGACAGUUGCAGAUCGACAAACACAGCGCGUGAGUGUUAAGUAAGUAAGCGUGCUUACCGGGAGGAUGUGCCGUCUGAUAUGGGUGGAGAUGACUUCUACCGCGCGCUUGUCCGGACUCACUCUGUGCGCGCGGGCAUGCUCUACACGGUGUCUCGCGCUCCGCCUGCGCAGAAUCGGAGACGAGCUGGAGACAGUGUGGGCUGCGAAUAACAACAAAAGAGCCGAGAGGAGCGGCGACGUCUGGUUCAGUGGCGUGCACAUGAUCUGCGCGGCGAUCCAUGUGACGGGGCUCGUGCUGCUGCUCAUGGGAAAGCGACAUCUGUAGGCGACCGAGCGACCCGGGCUGCAACAGGUGGGAUUCGGACGUGAGGAGAGUGACGUGGAGGUGAAGACGCAGGCAGUCCUCGUCCCUGGAUAUGGUUCUUUCUGUCCUCAUGUGUACUUACUGGUGUUUGGUGAAGUGUUUUUUGGUCAUACCAUCACAUCCACAUGUUCCACAUCUCAUCCCACUCUCCCCCUCUCGGACGAGCGCUGCCCCGGUGCAUCACGUGACCCGUGAACCCUCUGGCUUGCACCAGCUGUGAAGUGAUGUCAUUCGGCGCCUGAUUGUUUUGGUACGAGGCGUUCAGGUCAGACGUAGUCAAACCGACCGCGGUGUCUCCGGGGACGCCGGGAAUACUGCGAUGAGGUCACUGUCCCCUGACGCUGGAGGGGAAAAUUUUUUAUCGUCGUCACACUAGGAGUGUGAAACUCGGUGACUGCGAAACCGAUUUCUAUUUAUUAUUAAAAAAUGUAAAAAUGAAAAAAAAAAAAAAAUUCUAAAGUAUAAAAAUUCUAAAAUGUAUAUGUGAUGAGUCUUCAGAGGAAGAGCUCUUUACCAAAACAUCCUCUGCAUAUUGCACUGUAACCUCUCUAAUAAGCUACGAACAAGUCAGGACUUUCUUUCUUUCCUCCUUUCUUUCAUUUAACUAGUUUCUAUCUAUCUAUCUAUCUAUCUAUCUAUCUAUCUAUCUUCAAUUUAGGUCAUUUCGUUCUUUAAAAUUUUACUGUCUUCUUUUUUUCUGUUUUCUUCUCUUUCUUUCUUGUUCCUGUUAUAUUUUUUUCCCUCUUCUUUCAUUCAUCCUUUCUUCUCAUCGUUUCUUUCUUCACUCUAUCUACCUUUUUCAGUUUGGGCAAUUCUUUAUUUAUUCUCUUUUCUUUCUCCUUUUGUUUUCUCCUUCAUAUUGUUUCUUCUUUCUUUCUUUACAACGAGUUCAUUCUUUCUUGUUCCUUUUCUGUUUGUUUCCCCCCCCCCCCCCCCAUUCAUAUUUUUUCCUCUUCUUUCACUCAUACUUUCUUCCUUUACUCUAUCUACCUUUUUCAGCAUAGGCCAUUUCUUUAUUUAUUCUCUUUUUUUCUUUAUUCUCCUUUCUUUCUUUCUUGUUCCUUUCCUAUUUUUUCCUCGUUCAUAUUUUUUCCCCCUUUUUUAUUUUUUGUUCUCUCUUCCGUAUUUUCUUUCUUUACACCCAUUUCUUUCUUUCUUUCAUUUAAGCAAUUUCUUUAUUUCCUCUCUUUGUCUCUUUCUGUCUAUCUGACUUUCUUUAAAUUUAGGCAAUUUCCUUUCUUUACUCUAUUUUCUCUUCUUCUGUUUUCUCUCUUAUUUUUCACCCCCUCUCACUUUCUGCCUUAUCCUGAUCAGGGUCACAAUGAUCAUUUCUUUCUUUCUCUUUCCAUUUUAGACAUUCCUUCUUUCUUUCUUCUCGUUCAGUCAUUCUCUCUGAACGACGUCCUUUCUUCCUUCAUUCAUGAAUUCGUAUAUUGAUUUCUCUGACGUAUUUAUUCCUGUGUUUAUAUAAGUAUAUAUAUAUAUAUUUGUGUGUUUAUUUCUCUCAAUUUAGGCAAUGUCUUUCGUUUCUUUCAGUCUUUCUUUCGAUUCAGGAGUUUCUUCCUUCUCGCGUUAGUUUCCUGGUUUUUAUCUCCUUCUGAUCCGAGGCUCUUUAUGACGAUGUAGAUGUGUACGCUAGAACUGUCGGAGCUGUAUUUUGACCUACAGUAG
ensembl:lncRNA